UGGGGAGAAAGGGUAAUCAGGAGGCCAGGUAGGACCUGGGGAGAAAGGGUAAUCAGGAGGCCAGGUAGGACCUGGGGGGAAGGGUAAUCAGGAGGCCAGGUAGGACCUGGGGGGAAGGGUUAGCCAGGAGACCUGGGAAGAAGGGGAUAGCCAGGUAGGACCUGGGGAGAAAGGGUAAUCAGGAGGCCAGGUAGGACCUGGGGAGAAAGGGUAAUCAGGAGGCCAGGUAGGACC